rnacentral:rRNA from 1 species
GGGUUGUAAUUAUUAGAUAAAGAACCAAUAUUUUUGGUGACUCAUAAUAACUUUACGGAUCACAUUAUGUGACAUAUCAUUCAAGUUUCUGACCUAUCAGCUUUAGACGGUAGGGUAUUGGCCUACCGUGGCUAUGACGGGUAACGGGGAAUUAGGGUUCGAUUCCGGAGAGGGAGCCUGAGAAACGGCUACCACAUCUAAGGAAGGCAGCAGGCGCGCAAAUUACCCAAUCCUAAUACAGGGAGGUAGUGACAAGAAAUAACAAUACAGGACCUUACGGUUUUGUAAUUGGAAUGAGUUAAGUAUAAACCCCUUAACAAGUAUCAAUUGGAGGGCAAGUCUGGUGCCAGCAGCCGCGGUAAUUCCAGCUCCAAUAGCGUAUAUUAAAGUUGUUGCAGUUAAAAAGCUCGUAGUUAAUUUUCUGUUAAUUUUUAUAUACAAUACUACGGUAUUUAUAUAAUAUUAACAUAAUUCAUAUUACUUUUUAGUAUAUGAAACUUUACUUUGAGAAAAUUAGAGUGCUUAAAGCAGGCUAUUGCCUUGAAUACUCCAGCAUGGAAUAAUAUUAAGGAUUUUUAUUCUUCUUAUUGGUUCUAGAAUAAAAAUAAUGAUUAAUAGGGACAGUUGGGGGCAUUUGUAUUUAACAGUCAGAGGUGAAAUUCUUAGAUUUGUUAAAGACAAACUACUGCGAAAGCAUUUGCCAAGGAUGUUUUCAUUAAUCAAGAACGAAAGUUAGGGGAUCGAAGACGAUCAGAUACCGUCGUAGUCUUAACCAUAAACUAGGCCAACUAGAGAUUGGAGGUUGUUCCUUACUCCUUUA